rnacentral:rRNA from 1 species
AGCGAACGCUGGCGGCAGGCUUAACACAUGCAAGUCGAGCGGGCAUAGCAAUAUGUCAGCGGCAGACGGGUGAGUAACGCGUGGGAACGUACCUUUUGGUUCGGAACAACUGAGGGAGACUUCAGCUAAUACCGGAUAAGCCCUUACGGGGAAAGAUUUAUCGCCGAAAGAUCGGCCCGCGUCUGAUUAGCUAGUUGGUGAGGUAAUGGCUCACCAAGGCGACGAUCAGUAGCUGGUCUGAGAGGAUGAUCAGCCACAUUGGGACUGAGACACGGCCCAAACUCCUACGGGAGGCAGCAGUGGGGAAUAUUGGACAAUGGGCGCAAGCCUGAUCCAGCCAUGCCGCGUGAGUGAUGAAGGCCCUAGGGUUGUAAAGCUCUUUUGUGCGGGAAGAUAAUGAGGGUACCGCAAGAAUAAGCCCCGGCUAACUUCGUG